UACAGAGGUCUCAAGCGUUGUUCGGAUUCAUUGGGCGUAAAGGGUGCGUAGGCGGCGCGGUAAGUCGGGUGUGAAAUCUCGGAGCUUAACUCCGAAACUGCAUUCGAUACUGCCGUGCUUGAGGACUGGAGAGGAGACUGGAAUUUACGGUGUAGCGGUGAAAUGCGUAGAUAUCGUUUGGAACGCCAAUGGUGAAAACAGGUUGCUGGGGGUGUGCUGACGCUGAGACACGAAAGCCAGGGGAGCAAACAGG
rnacentral:rRNA from 1 species